rnacentral:rRNA from 1 species
ACAGCAGUAGCCACGGGAAUACAGAGGGUGCGAGCGUUAAUCGGAUUUACUGGGCGUAAAGCGUGCGUAGGCGGCUUUUUAAGUCGGAUAUGAAAUCCCUGAGCUUAACUUAGGAAUUGCAUUCGAUACUGGGAAGCUAGAGUAUGGGAGAGGAUGGUAGAAUUCCAGGUGUAGCGGUGAAAUGCGUAGAGAUCUGGAGGAAUACCGAUGGCGAAGGCAGCCAUCUGGCCUAAUACUGACGCUGAGGUACGAAAGCAUGGGGAGCAAACAGGAUUAGAUACCCCUGUAGUCCCUGUCUCUUAUAC